UACGGAGGGUGCAAGCGUUAUCCGGAUUCACUGGGUUUAAAGGGUCCGUAGGCGGGCUGAUAAGUCAGUGGUGAAAUUUUUGGGCUUAACCCGAACACUGCCAUUGAUACUGUCAGUCUUGAGUAUAGACGCAGCUAGCGGAAUGAGUCAUGUAGCGGUGAAAUGCAUAGAUAUGCCUCAGAACGCCGAUUGCGAAGGCAGCUGGCUAGACUAUUACUGACGCUGAUGGACGAAAGCGUGGGGAGCGAACAGG
rnacentral:rRNA from 1 species